UGCAACUUUCUGCCUUCUGUUACCCAGGGGACUGUCCCCGGGGGAUGGCACAUUCCUGGAAGGUGGCAUGAAGAAAGGGUUCCGAACAAGCUCAGAACAGCCCACAGUCCUCUCUUCUUUGAAGGACAUUACAGUCCCUCCAGGUUGGAGGCUGGAGGAGGAAGAGGAUGUGGCUGAGUGUGGCACUGGGGCACGUGAAUGCCCACAUGCAGAGGGGAUGCUUGAAAAUUAAACCACCCAUAAAUCAAGGCAUUAUAAACGGGCUGUGAGUGUGGCCAGCAUUGACUUUUGGCAACAGAGGUCUGGAUUUGCUACGCCUCACGGGUCCUCUAAAGCUGUGCUCUCCUAGGCGAAUCCAUACAUCAGCCCUCUCCGGAGACCUGCUGGAUGGUCCUCACC